GUGGUAAUGCCGGAUGCUCCAUCACACCGCAUGGUGUGUUGGGAAAGCCUUUGCGGCAUGGGAUGGGGUCGCGUCCUAUCAGCUUGAUGGCGGGGUAACGGCCCACCAUGGCUUCGACGGGUAGCCGGCCUGAGAGGGCGACCGGCCACAUUGGGACUGAGAUACGGCCCAGACUCCUACGGGAGGCAGCAGUGGGGAAUAUUGCACAAUGGGCGCAAGCCUGAUGCAGCGACGCCGCGUGAGGGAUGGAGGCCUUCGGGUUGUAAACCUCUUUUGUUAGGGAGCAAGGCACUUUGUGUUGAGUGUACCUUUCGAAUAAGCACCGGCUAACUACGUGCCAGCAGCCGCGGUAAUACGUAGGGUGCAAGCGUUAUCCGGAAUUAUUGGGCGUAAAGGGCUCGUAGGCGGUUCGUCGCGUCCGGUGUGAAAGUCCAUCGCUUAACGGUGGAUCCGCGCCGGGUACGGGCGGGCUUGAGUGCGGUAGGGGAGACUGGAAUUCCCGGUGUAACGGUGGAAUGUGUAGAUAUCGGGAAAGAACACCA
rnacentral:rRNA from 1 species